AACUUGCAGGGGUAAUUAUUCAGCUUGAGAAGGAUUCCUUGAUACGAAUCCUCUCUUUCACAAUACCAAUACCGUGGGUGGUUGCAAUUUUUUUAGGAAAAAAAAAAACAAGAGUAGUUUGCAAGGUGGUGAGGAACUGAGGAAGGCUGUUUUAUUUCUGGAAAACCAUUUACCUAUUGCUCUAGGAAAUGUUAGGAAUGUGUAAAAAAAAUUACCUUGCACUAUUGCAACUAUUUUGUCCAUUCUGGUUCUGGGGCCACAAGCAAGACCACUGAAAUGCAACAGGCCUACCCUCGAUUGUGAGUUGUGACAGCAUAGAGGGGGAUCAGGGCCUCAGGGGUGGUGUGGUGAUUGAAGAUUCUAGCAUAUAUUGGUGUAGGGGCCAACCAAAAUUUGUCCUCUCUACGGAUGGGGUGUCUAGUUGGUGAAAAAGUUUGGGUUUGGGUACUAUAGCAAAUUUCAUUGUUAUUUGGUAAUUAAUGUCCAAUCAUAGAUUAAUUAGGUUUAAAAGAUUCGUAUCGUCCUAAUCAGUUAAACUGUGUAAUUAGUUAUUUUUUUCAACUACAUUUAAUGCUCCAUGCAUGUGUUCGAAAAUUCAAUGUGAUAGGUACUGUGCAAAAUUUUUUGGAACUAGACGCUGCCUCAGAGAAUGGCAAACCACAGCUGAUUCAGGGACAACUACCGCAAAAAAGUUCUUUACUCGGGGAGGUUAAAAAGUACAAGUUAUUCCAACGCUCCAGUGUGCAGGGAUCAAUAAACUAGCAAACAUAAUUGUGGUUUGGGUGGAGAUACAUGUGAUCCGGAUACCAAAGUCCAAUUUGAGAGGUUAAUCAUAUGAUGGAGCAAUAGAUUUUCCAUUCCCAACACUGUUCCAGUUUUGGAAGUGCUUUAAAUAUUUUCAAUAUGUUACUUUGUAUUUGUACUACGCCCAUUUUGCUUGAUUCCUCCCAUGUGAACGUGUUUCUGCGCCCUGAUCAGGGAGGAAUGCGAUAAAAUAGGCUUUGAUUCAUUAUUCCAUGACCGCACAGGAAUCUCGGUGCCUCUUGGCGAUGCAACAAGGCCAGCACAGUACAGAUCGCUUGUCUCAAUUGGAUGAAGAGUAGAAGACACUAGUUGGAGAAUGACAUCAAUGAUAUUAUGAUAAAGUGCAAGGCACCAAGAAUGCUCGUCUGUGAGGAUUAUCAUUCACUUCAAGGAGGUGAGCACCCAUGUUACAGCCUCGUCAGGUUUGGGCCCCUCUGUCCAUGGAGGCAUGGAGCAGCUCUCAAUUGCAAGAGAUGAUCAAUUUUCACAGGUAACUUUGGCAAAUCUGAGGGGCUCAUCACAUUAAUAAUUGAGUCAUGCAAUGCAACAGUGUGGCACGCAAUCAUGGGAUACUCGGAAUCUGACAACCAAUCUGAAAUCGAAAUCUCGGGGCUGUACUGAACUGCAUCGAACCGUGGGAGUUUGAAUAUUCCAAGUCAAGGGAGGCGGAUUCAUUAUCUUAGACGAGUAUAAUUUCGGAUUUGCUAUGUGCACCAGGAGCAGCAUCCACGGGAGGGCAAACCUUCAGGCACUAGUGCAUGAUGGAGCUCUGAAAGCAGCAGCCGCUGAAAGCUACUGCUUCUGCAUCCCUGACGUUUGCCGAGCGAAUGGUGUGCUUGGAAGAAGCUCGGUCCGGUCUCCUUGAUCGUGUGUGGAUUACUAAUGUCGUGAAGUUUAAGGAAGCUGUACAUAGUAUAAAUGUAUAAGUGAAGUAUCUGGCCAGAAUAAAGGCCAAGGGACUUGUUGAAGCUCUGAACUUACAUAGUGCUGAACUCACCGGGGUGGUGCUUGUGCAAAGUUUCAGUAAGUUGCAAAGGAGAAUAAGGUCAGAAUUGCCCAAAUGUCUACUGAUCUUUCCUAGAGCACAUCAUGCGAACUAUUUUCUUCGGUGAACAAAAUUAUAUCUGUCGACAAAGGUCAUGCAAACUAUAGUGCAUAACAUCCCAUGGUUCACCUGUUGUGUUUUCUGACUAUAUAUAUAGUGUAAUCGCAGUCCUAAUUGUUUGGUUUUACAUAUGAAUGAGUCUGUGGACAGUACAUACAGAAAUUCAGGCAUGAUUCAGU